CUACCAUGCAGUCGAGCGGAAGGCCCUUCGGGGUACUCGAGCGGCGAACGGGUGAGUAACACGUGAGUAAUCUGCCCCUCACUCAGGGAUAACCGCGGGAAGCUGCGGCUAAUACUUGAUAUGACCACGUCUCGCAUGGGGUGUGGUGGAAAGCGUUUAGUGGUGAGGGAUGUGCU
rnacentral:rRNA from 1 species